GUCAGGGCUCAGCAGUGCCCCAGCAUGGGGCAGAGCCUCUCGGUGCCAGCCAGCUCCUGUGUCCUACCGACCUCUCCACUGUAUCUGGGAAUUGCCAAGGAGAAGAGUACCAAGGCUGCUAGUGAACAGCGACGUGCAACGUGCCCAAGACUGACCGCUGUUCCUCUGGUGCCUGUUGCAGUGGGGGUGCAGAGUGGACCUUCAG
rnacentral:misc_RNA from 1 species